GGGAGGAAGGGAGGGGAGAAAUGAUAGGUAUAGAGGAAUAUAGAGGAAUAGACGUGGGAGGCCGAAGCCCCCGCGUCUCACCUGGGCCCCCCGGGGGAGCCGGCCCCGAACGACCGAACCCGACCGCGCACUAACCGGGCAAAUGGCGCCGUGGGCGAUUUUCGGCGCUUAAAUACUCUCGGCGCCGCCCCGCGCAGCCGCCCUGGGUUCCCGCGCACCUGAGCGGCCCCGCCCCGCUCACCUGUGCGCCCCCGCCCCCUUGGGUCCCGCCCUGCGCAGGCGCUCUGUGGCCCCGCGCACCUGCCCUGGCCCCGCCCCUCGCCCACCAGUGCCGGCCCCGCCUCCUGGGCCCCGCCCCUCCCGCGUCCCGUAUUUCCCGGCAGAGCCGCGCCCGCCCCACUCUGGGUCGCACGUGCUGCUACAGGGAGCGCGGAGGCAUCAGUGCUCGGAGCCGGAGCCCCGGCCCGGGGCUGCUCCUGGUGCAGAGCCCGGGAACGGUGAGGAUCGGCCGGGGUUGGCGCCCCAACUGCGCCCGGGGCCGGGUCCCUGGGGCUAUAGAGCCGGCAAGGGGGAUCCACCCGGUGCCGCAGUUCCCUGCGGGUACCCGGGCUCUGUCCCGCCCCGUGGAGCUGGUGCCUCGGCUCCGAGGUUUCCUGAGCUCCCGGUGCCCCGAGCUCUGGCCUGGCCCCCAGAACCCCGCACCAGUGUCACCUUCCCAGUCUCGCCACCGCGGGCAGGGGGAGCCCCGCUGAGUCCGCUGUUCCCUCUCCUCUCCUGUCCAGGGCUCCGGCCACGGGACCCGCCGCGGCUCUGCCGGUCCCGGGGACGCUGAAUGUGCGCGGCGACUCCGCACAGGUACCGAAUAAAGGCUGGAAAUCACCGGCCGUGCUGGGGCUGCCCCGGCGCUGUCCACCCGGUCCUGCAGUCGCCUGCACUGGGGUCCCAGCCCCUGAGCAGCCCCAGCCGGGGAACAGCCUGGGAAUGGUCAUCUCGGCGCCUCCCGAACCGCCUCGUGCCCCCGGGACCACCUUGGAGGGAGCCUGCCCGUCUCAGGAACAGCGGUGGGGGCUCCACGGCCUGAAAGAGCGAUGGGGACUUGUUUGGAUCCUCCACGCACCGGCCACGUAAGCCUCACAACGCUGUGGCUGGGCUGCAGAACCCAACAAGGUAAGGCUUGACCUGCGUUCUGGGCCCUGAACCUGCCCUGAUGAGCUGAGGGGGGCCGAACCCUGACAGUGCCAGGCCAGGGCUCUGUGUUCCAAGCACACGCAGGGUUUGGAUUCUGUUCCUGAGCCCCCAAAAUGCAGGAUUUGGGCUCUCUGUUCAAGUACUUAAACUGCUUGGAUGAGCCUUGUUUUGCACUCCCAAAACACAGAACUGAAGUCACUUUCACAGCCUUAGCAUUGGCCCAGUGGGACUGGUUCCAAGUGCCAGCAACACAGAACUUUACCCCUGAGGCCCCCAAACCCUCGCCUCCACCAAAAAACCACUGGAUUUAGUCUCCGUUUCUGAGCCCCAAAAAUGCCUGAUUUAUUAGUCCCAGUUUCAUAAGGUUGGGGAAUUGACUGUGGACAUCGCCGCAGAUGGUGACAGGGCAAUGUACUUCUUGCACAUUUGAUUCUUUUCUAAGAAUUUCUGUAGCCUACCAAGAAAAAUACAUUUAGGAUUAAAAGGUAAGAAGCUCCUCCAUAAGCAGGUGCAAAUGUUAUUCCACUGUAUUCCCACUGUUUCACUCUAGUGGCUCAAGCUGAUCACUGGAAAAAGUUUGAGUAAGCACACGUAAGGUAUGUUUUGGAAAACCCUCUGCACAGGAAUGAGCAUGUUUGCUGCGAUGGGGCUGGGUCAUUAGAUCUCACUGUACCACAGGCACCAACAAAUUCCAAGUAGUAACUAAACACUUCCCACCCCCAUCCCCCAAAACAAAGCCAUGCGACGUGGCCUAUCUACAUUAUGUAUUUAUCCCAAUAAUGAAGUAUCCUAUUAUCCAAAUACCAGGUUUGCUGUGCUGCCUCCAGCUCGCCGACUGAUGCCCAUCAGCACUCCAGGCACACCGGGGGCACAGGGAACACCCCCGGGUUGGCUCGGUCUGAUCCCAGCAAAAGGGAGGGAAGAUCACCAGCACUGAGCAGUCACCAGCAGGUGAUGAUCCAGGCAUUCCUUGCCAUGUCCCUUAGCUCAGGAUAAGGUAGCUCCCACCUGCUGCUGCCAGGAAGAAACCACUUCCCAAGGAUAUCCCCAGUGGGCUCCCCAAGGAUGACUGCGUUCCCAUUCCAGUGCCAGCUGCCCUGCUCUUUUCAGGUAAGAAUAUAUUUGGAAAGAAGUCAAGGGCUUGGGCAGCAUCCAGUGCACGGAAUGCUACCUGAUCCCGUAAGUCACAUCCUGCCCCUGGGCUCCAUGCCGUGGGGUUUCUCCUCAGGCACAGUGGGCUUUGCAAAAAGGAGGAGGAAGAUGUGAGUGCUCGAGGGGAGCCUGGCACUGGCUGUGUUGAGCAGAACCACACGGGCAGCUGGCAGGGCCGGUAGUGAGGGGGAGAACUCGCUCUGUGUUCCUGGAGCAGUAUUAAGAGACUGGCCAUAAGCAUUUAAUAUUCAUUUUAGGUUUAAAAACAACUCCCAUCAGCUGAUACCAAUAUGCAUUAUGCAAAAUAGCCACAAUAUCUGCAGGCUUCAAAACAAAGAUAAACAAUGUUGUUUUCCUUUACUUCUUUUAUGCAAUUAUAUAUAAGUAAGAUUAAUAAUGCUUGAUGACAUUUUCUUCCUUAAAUCUCUAGGCCAGUAUUAUGCCUUAACUAGAUUUCAAAAGCAGAAAGAGAUGAAAGUGAUAAAUUAGAACCGAUGCCCGAUCUUUGCAUAUUCAGCUUUCCAUUACAGAAAUCCCUGAAUUGGUCCACGUGGUCUUCUGCUUGUAUUAUCUUCUAUUUUGUCUCACUCUAAUCUCAUUAUGACACCCUAAAUCUACCCCGUUCUGCCUUUUGUGCUGGAGACUGCUGUCAUCUCUUCAUUAGCAUGGGACAUGUUUUUAUGAAACAGAUAAUGGCAAACCAAAUUGCAUUUUGCUCCUUCUGCAAUAAAUAGCACAACUUGGGAAGCUGAAACAAGGUGGUACAACUCAUGAGUAGUAGCUUUCAACGUGAUGAAUACCAAAUCAGAGGUAAGCUGUGGUUCCAGACUUGUGAGUUUUCAGAAUUCAUGGUCAGUAAAUGGCUGUGUCCUUAAACAAGAUUUAUCUUGUCAGUCCUCCUAUUUUUGUGAGCCACAAUUAUAGCUAGUGAGGGGCAACAAAGUAGACCACGUGUUUGGGGGGCUUUCUGAGAUCCUCAUUUCUGUGGAGUCUGGCUACUUUUGUUAAGGGGAAGUCACAUUACAGCAGGGAAAAGAGAAAAACAAAAAAAUCUCUUGGCCCAUGUAAAGAGCAAUUGAUUAUUAAAUAUUUUUCCAAUUUCCAGAGCUUCCUCCAUCCAUAAGUGUUGGAUAACCAUUGCAUUAGAUACUUUGAGUAAUCCCAGCACGGUCCCACCUAGCCAUCCCCAGAAGUUGUAAAAGCCCCUGAAUUCCCCCAAUGUGCAGGCUUAUCCUGGCCAAUUGCUUAUCUAAGGAACUGACUGCUAAUUGCUUUGGUCUUUAUCAGAUCUAAACACAGAGCUGCUCUUUUUCAAGUCUUCACCUGUAGAAAACAUAUUGUUGUAAAAUGUCACCAAACCAGAAAUUACUGCUUAAGCUUUCUUUGCCCUUUCUUAGCACACAAGGGAAGAGCACACUAUGGGGGUUAAAGUGCCUUAUUCCUGCCUUUUGCGGCUCUUGGAUCAACCUAUGUGUUCAUUUAGAUCUUCCUGAUAACUUUUGAUCUUUUUUUAGUGGAGUCAGAGCCAAGUGACAUUCUAGUAAAGCAGAGGUGAGCCAAACCCCAGCUGUCUGUAUGAUCUUUGACUGUGCACCUCACUGGGAAUUGCCUAUUCCCUGUUCCAUCUGAUACGAGAUCAGAUGGGAUUCAGAGGAUAUUUAAAGGUUGGUGAAACACUUUAGACAGAUUGCCCAGGCAAUCAUUCAACAUGUGCAAGGCAAGAACUGUAAGAUAUGCUUAGAAAGAUGCUGACCUAAGCAGAGAUGGAAGGAGAGGAGAAAAAGGCUGGUUUUCAUCCUGCUUUCUAGGUGCCAAUGAUGCAAAGCCUGCAGCCAUGGAGCCUGUUGUAAUCCCUGUCCAUAGGCAAAACUUAGGGGAAGCUGUGCUCCCGUUACACACAGAAUCUCAUGGCUGUCACAUCUUUAGUAAAAGCCAUGGGAUAAUAUCCCAGAGACUCAGUUUUAGCCUUGCUGUGAGUCAGAUGUGCCAGUUUCUAAUUAGCCAGCAGCGCUGGGAUGUACUUUUAGGGCCGAAGACUUCCCUCAAUAUGUAAUGUAAGCCAGCUGAGCACCUGCUCAGAGCCUUUUGAAGUCAAAUGAAAGACUAAUUGUGACUGAUUUUGAUUAGGAGUCUGCUCUUGCAUGGCUGUGUAGCUGUAGCUGACUCAUGCUGCACUGAGGAAUAGGUCCUCUGUGCAAACCUUUAGUAUGAGCUUUAAUAUUUCAUAUUUAUUUUACAUCCGCAGUGUUGAUAACUGAAAUGUGUUCAGAGCAAUGCAGAUUUUAAGGAAACAUAAUGCUGUGGCCCAUAUGUCACCUGCCCAUUGUCCUGGAUGAGGCAGAGCAGAGGACUGACUCCCCACUGUGGUAUUCACAUUCCCACUGGAAUAUUGCAUGACAUCACUUGAAAACUGGAGUAACAUGGUGCUGAAUGAAACUACUCAGACGUUGCUGCAGCUUUCAGCACAGCUUUUCUAUCAGCAUGGAGAAGCCAAGUCACAGAUGGCUUUUACACUGCUAUAAUUAAUAAUCAUGGUACCGUGUUAGUGUCAUCUUAGCAUAAAAAUGAAUCUAUAAAUUGCAUUCAGCAUUUUUAGAGCAUCUACACUGACUGUUUUUUGCAACAGAAGGGUACUGCUCUGACAGUAAGUCUUUUUGAACUGCAUUUGUAAAGAAUAAUUUCAAUUUACUGUUUGUUUUCUUUAACAUUAUUUAUGAAGAGGCAUAGUUAAUUUUUUCUGUACAUCAGUUUUAGAUCAAGCCUUUACAAAGUUAGAUUACUUUUCUUAUUUUACAGCAUGAUGUGUUAUAUCACUCCUGAGCUGGCCUAAACUUUGAACAGCCUGAUGCUCACAGCACUCCCAAGACCAUUUUCUUUGUGGGCAGCCCAAAACCCAUUAAUUAUUUAAUGAUUGGACCUGAGGAUCUUAAGGGUCUUUUCCAACCUAAAUGAUUCUGUGAUUCCAUAUUCCCAAACUCAUUUGGCUAUUGAGGAGCCCAGACAGACACAUUGUGUUAUGUAAAUCACAGUUAUUUUUUUUCCCCCCACAGAUGGGCUAUUUCCUACUCAGUAUAAAAGGAAUGUGUUUUUCUACACAAAAGCUGUAAUUUACCUGAUGUCAUUUGCCAUCCUAAACCAGAGCAGUAAAAUGCAGCCAACAAGAAGCAAAGAAAAACAUGAAAUGAGUCCUUCACUGGCCCCUAAGAGAUGCCUGGAGAGUUUAAGGCUACAACCACCUUAUUGUGAGGACUGGCCUGGUCUCUCUCAGGCUACAGCCCCCUUUUUGGGGGCGAGCUUACUGGGUCAUAGCAGAAAAUUCUGUUUAGUGAGUACUGAUUCCACCCCUCCCCCCCUUUCCAUGAGCAUCUGAUGGAUUGGUUUUGGAAUUCAUGGGAGCUUCCUGCAUCAGCAGCAGCCUGUGGUGCUGCGUUCAGUGGGUUAAGUACCUCUCAUUUUUCAAACUGUCACGUGAUAAUUUCAUCUGGUGACCCCAAGUUCUGGAACUGUGGGAAUCAGGGAACCAUUGUUCCUAGAGAUGUUCCCUGUCAAGAGCUGUAGGACAUUUAGUUUUCCUGUUCCUUAUCCCAGUCAACCUUAUUCUCAGUCUUUUUAUCCAUAUUAGUUUUAUAUGCCAAACACACCAGCUAAACCUGCAGUGCCGCUGUGGACAUACAUGUAAUAUACUGAGUUUGUUCAGGGUUUUUUCAAAGUAUCUUAAAAUUUCUUUCUCUGUUAUUCAGCUCCAAAAACACAUAUUACGAAAACACGAUGUACUUUUUCUGGAGCUCUUUUGACAAUAAGGUCCUUUCAAAACUGCUCUGUCUGGAGGGCACCUUUGCAGAUUUAGUUAUGCUCUCAAGUUCAUUGAUAGAGUAAUCCUAAGUGACUGGGAAAACUUGGCAUCUGCCUGGAUCCACCAAUAUUUUUCAGAUAUGACAUCGAUCAGUUUUACAGCCUGUUAUGGUGGAAGCUUAAGCUGAGCUUUUCACAGACUCAGAAAUGCUCCUGGUGAAUAUCCCCAAUCACUUCUCAAGAGCAUCCUAUCAAGUUGGGUUGAUAAAGAUGAGAUUAACCUAUUAUGGAUGUCAUUUUUCUCAAACACCGAUAUUCUCAUUUGUCACUUGUCCCUGGCAAGAAGCAGGUUUGACCUUUAAGGCAGGAAUAUGUAAGAUGAUGUCAAAAUGAAUCAGAAACUCAAAUAAAAUAGAGGUGAUACAGCAUUUCCAAGACUGCAAGAGUGAGAGUUCACUCCCUAUGCCCCCCCCAAAGACCCUAUUCUAGAAACAGCAGUGCCAAACACCAACAAAUGCCUGCUUUACUUAAAUAUAUUUUGGUGAAUUUUAAUGUGCUUGCAAGGAAAGGGUGAACAAUAAGACAAUGACUGGUGCAGACAAAGCUCUCGCCACUGGCAGAGUGGCCUGACCUUCUGCAGUUUUGUCACUUUAACCUUGGAAGAUUUUGGCUUUGGGACUGCAGAUUGCUGUGUGCCUUGUUUAGUGAGUUUGUAAAGUAAGUUAAAUGAGCUGACAUGGAAAAACUCUGCUUGCUAUGGAUAUUACUGAGUUAAAUACACCCUCAGGUUUCUGUGGAUAUAAUCUGUUUCUCCUUGAAUUGAAAGAUUAAACUCUUUUUUUAUACAGCACUCACUAUUACCUCAUUAUGUGGUACUUGGUAAGUGCAUGGUUUUGAAAAUUGUCUUACAGAAUAUUUCUAGGAAAGAAUCUAUGAGAGAUUGAAAUACUAGUUUUGAGCUUUUAUUUCAUGACAUCACCCAUCAUGAUUGAACGGAUCGUGGCUUUGUCUUUCUGAGUAAUUGCACCCAUCUUCCAAAUUUGCUGAAUGAUCAUUUACUGUUUCCUGCUUCGGAUGAUCAAGCCUUAUAUCAAUAAAGCUCAUACAGAACUGGUUCAGAA